UUGCUUCGGCAGCAUAGAUACUAAAAUAGGAAUGAUACAGAGAAGGUUAGCAUGGCCCCUGUGCAAGGCUGAUACACACAUUUGUGAAGUGCUCCGUAUGUAU
rfam:Tupaia chinensis contig190049, whole genome shotgun sequence.